rnacentral:misc_RNA from 1 species
GAUGAAGAACGCAGCGAAAUGCGAUAAGUAAUGUGAAUUGCAGAAUUCAGUGAAUCAUCGAAUCUUUGAACGCACAUUGCGCCCCCUGGUAUUCCGGGGGGCAUGCCUGUUCGAGCGUCAUUUCAACCCUCAAGCUCUACUUGGUAUUGAGUCCAUGUCAGCAAUGGCAGGCUCCAAAAUCAGUGGCGGCGCCGCUGGGUCCUGAACGUAGUAAUAUCUCUCGUUACAGGUGCUCGGCGUGCUUCUGCCAAAACCCCAAUUUUUCUAUGGUUGACCUCGGAUCAGGUAGGGAUACCCGCUGAACUUAAGCAUAUCAAUAAGCGGAGGA